UCCGGCUUGUCGCCGGCGGUCCCUUUAGAGUGCCCAACUGAAUGAUGGCAACUAAAGGCGAGGGUUGCGCUCGUUGCGGGACUUAACCCAACAUCUCACGACACGAGCUGACGACAGCCAUGCAGCACCUCGACUAGUGUCCCUUGCGGGAAAAGAAACUUUCAUCUCCUGUCACUAGCCGUUCGAGCCCAGGUAAGGUUCUUCGCGUUGCCUCGAAUUAAACCACAUGUUCCACCGCUUGUGCGGGUCCCCGUCAAUUUCUUUGAGUUUUAAUCUUGCGACCGUACUCCCCAGGCGGGGUGCUAACGCGUUAGCUGCGCCACUGACAGGCAAGCCUGCCAACGGCUAGCAUCCAUCGUUUACGGCGUGGACUAC
rnacentral:misc_RNA from 1 species